rnacentral:rRNA from 1 species
ACGCCUACGGGGGGCAGCAGUGGGGAAUCUUCCGCAAUGGGCGCAAGCCUGACGGAGCAAUGCCGCGUGAACGAAGAAGGUCUUCGGAUUGUAAAGCUCUGUCCUUAUCGAAGAGAGGGUAUAGAGUGAAAAAUGAUAUACUAGGACGGUAGAUGAGGAGGAAGCCCCGGCUAACUACGUGCCAGCAGCCGCGGUAAUACGUAGGGGGCGAGCGUUAUCCGGAUUUAUUGGGUUUAAAGGGUGCGUAGGCGGAAUGCCAAGUCAGCGGUAAAAUCGCGGGGCUCAACCUCGCUCCGCCGUUGAAA